ensembl:lncRNA
CCCCUCUCCCGCUGCCUCCCUACACUGUAUCCAUGUGUCAGGGACGCACAGUGCUGUUGCCAAGGGUCAUAUUAAUCCUGUGUUUACCGAUACAGAGAGAAGCUAGCAUUGGAACACCUAUGUGAGAAUGCUAUUCAUUGACUACAGCUCAGCGUUCAACACCAUAGUGCCCUCAAAGCUCAUCACUAAGCUAAGGACCCAGGGACCUCCCUCUGCAACUAGAUCCUGGACUUCCUGACGGGCCGCCCCCAGGUGGUAACAACACAUCCGCCACGCUGAUCCUCAACACAGGGGCCCCUCAGGGGUGUGUGCUCAGUCCCCUCCUGUACUCCCUGUUCACUCAUGACUGCACGGCCAGGCAAGACUCCAACACCAUCAUUAAGUUUGCUGACGAUACAACAGUGGUAGGCCUGAUCACCGGCAAUGAUGAGACUAUAUGAUGAGACUAUAUUAUACCUCCUCCUCCUAUAGAGCACGCCCCCUUCUCAUCGACAGGGCUGUAGUGGAGCAGGUUGAGAGCUUCAAGUUACUUGGCGUCCACAUCACCAACAAACUAACAUGGUCCAGAGGGUGGUACGUACGGCCCAGUACAUCACCGGGGCCAAGCUUCCUGCCACCCAGGACCUCUAUACCAGUAUGUUUCAGAGAAAGGCCCUAAAAAUUGUCAAAGACUCCAGCCACCCCAGUCAUAGACUGUUCUCUCUGCUACCACACGGCAAGCAGUACUGGAGCCAAGUCUAGGUUCAAGAGGCUUCUAAACAGCUUCUACCCCCAAGCCAUUAGACUCCUGAACAUCUAAUCAAAUGGCUACCCAGACUAUUUGCAUUGCCCCCCCUUUCUACACUGCUGCUACUUUCUGUUAUUAUCUAUGCAUAGCCACUUUAAUAACUCUACCUACAUGUACCUCAAUUACCUCGACACUGGUGCCCCCGCACAUUGACUCUGUACCGGUACCCCCUGUAUAUAGCCCCGCUGUUAUUUACUGAGGCUCUUUAAUUAUUUGUUUUUGUUAUCUCUUACUUUUUUUUUAGGUAUUUUCUUAAACUACAUUGUUGGUGAAGGGCUUGUUAGUAAGUAUUUCCCUGUAUUCGGCACAUGUGACAAAUACAAUAUGAUUUGCAACAGUAGACGAGAAGGAGGGAGGUAGAGGACAAAGUGUAAAGAAUGAAUCAUUGUUCCAAGACCCAGCAUCUGAAAGGCCCCAACCCUAUAUCCCACCAUGUGCACUCCUUUUGUCCACAGCUCAAUUAAGGUAUAGCUACAAUUCCGGAUUCUUGUCUCUCUCAAUCACCCAUCCACCUCCAUCUGUGGUAGUCAGCAUGGACACCAAGCAGUGGAGAAAUGGAUGUUUCUAGAAAUCCACGUUGAAAUAUAACACUCCAAAAGCUAUCUGAAAUCCCUGUAGGUGACGGAACUCAUUGGUUAGGUGUUGUCAGACUUGAACAGAUACAGUGGAAAGUGUGGUCACAUCGAGGAAUUAGAGAUGGACUACUCAAUACAUAUUAGGAAAAGCAAUAGAGUGCUGUCCUACCAUAGUAGCUUAUUAAUGUUGGCCACCAAAUCACAUUCACAAUACCCCUUGAACAAAUGCUACCGCAGAACACGUACGCAACCACGCAUGCACACAGGUCAUCAUAGGCUGUGAAUAUUGCUUUUGCAUUCACUCCAUUGGGUCUGUUACUGUUCAGUUCCCCCUAGGCCUCACUGAAAUUGUGAAAGGCCUUAUUCAGAUGAGGCAGUGACUCAGCAGAUGUAUAGGUCAGGGGUUGACUAGCAAUGUCUAAUUCCUCUCCUCUGUAUCGUUUAAUAUGGGCCAAUAACUAUUAUAACGAUUCACGCAACCACCUGGCCCCUAGCCCAUCACAAGAUGUUAUGUCAGCUACAACACUAAAUGCCACUGUUAGAUAAUGACCCAUAACAGAUCACACAACGAGAGAGAGAUAGAGGGGGGCAGGUAAGGGAGUGUAGGGGAGUGAAAGAGGGUCAGUUAGUGCAGAUAGAGAGAGAGGCACAUGAUUUGGAUAAAAUUCAAGAAUUUGGUACAUAAACUCCCUUGACUUUGCAGGUCACGAAGUGCAACUCAAAUGCUCCAGAUACAGAAUAAGUGUCAGUAUUGCUUUAAACAUUGUCAUCCUACAAAUACAUUUUCCUGAUAACGUUUCACAACAAGCUGUCAAUGGUAAAAUCUUCAAGGAGAACCGGACAGGCAGAUGGACGGACAAACAGACAUUUUAAUUGGCUCCUCAUUCAAAGUGACAUUUUCACAGAGACCAUCAGUGAACAGAAAAGAGACUGACCAACCUCAGAAAACCCCCAAACGCUUCUCUUCCUCCCUUGUUCCAUCUCCCUUCUCAUCCCAUUCCUUCUCCUAUACCAUUCUCUCUGAUCCGCUUCUAUCUCUCAUAUCCUCUCCCCUCUCCCGUUUCCUCUACCUUUCCCUCUCAUCCUUCUGUCACCACCAAUUGGUCUCUCUCUCUGGACAUCAAAUGGACCUACGGAGCUAUGGACAGCCACGGGGAGCCCAGCACUGGUCCAUGUGUUGACUGCAGCAUGCUGCCUGGCUAGUCCACCUGGGCUGUGUCCCAAAUAGCACCCCCCCCCGCACUACUUUUGACCAGGGUCCAUAGGGCUAUGGUCAAAAGUAGUGCACUUUGUAGGGAAUAGGGUGCCAUUUGGGACGUACACAUGCUUAGGCCUGAUCUGCCUGGUCAUGUCAUGGGAGCUGCCCUGGGCUAGGAGCUGGAUGGAUAGGGAGAAAUGGGAUAGCUGCAGGUACUGUAGAUGUAUCAAGUGAUAGGUACAAUGGGGUAGAUACAGUUCAACGAGUUGGACCUAUGGCUGAAAUGUUGAAACUAUCAGGAAGUUAAUAAAUACAUCACUUCUUUGAGGGAGUCAGCAAACACACACUAAGAAGACAUGUCUUUCUUGGCAUGGAUAUUUUUUUACUGCAUCAUCUUUCUUUGUACUUUUGUUUGCAUUCAGCCCCAUUGCGUGAUUCACCAUGUUCUAUAGAGCAGCACAGUCUGAGUGUAUGUGGAGUAUAACUGUCACCUUGUUCUCUUGGUUGAACCUCUGGGCUCCUCCACAUCUCCUUCAAGGCUUUCCAAGGCUCACUCGGCAACUUUAUUUGAUCACUUGACUCGCUGAAAGCUAUUGGAGCCCAAGGUCUGUUAUCUGUUAUCAUUUCAGCCUAUUGGAGAAAUAGAUGAUUUCCCAGAGUUAAAUAGAAAAUGCCUGGUUACGACUGUAACUUUGGUUCUCUGAGGGAACUGAGGCACUAUGGGGAAUAAUGGGGAAUAAUGCUCGCUCAAGAGACUGAAAGAGAAUCUAUGUACUUUUGAUAUUGGCUCUCUUGGCUGAACUUCCUGCCAGGGUAUUGGGUGGUAGAUCCCACUGUGAGAGAGGACUGAAACACAGGCUAGAGGUCAGUGUACCGUCAAAAAGAGUUCUACGAGAGAGUUCUACGAAAGAGUUUAUCAAUGAAGAUCGCUGUAGAGAAUCUUUCAAAAAUGUGAAUCGCUUUUUCAGUGUCAUGGUCAGAUUGACAUCCACAGAUGAAUCCUAAUGUGAAUGCUUCUUCUCUACCGAGGUGGUACAUGUAUACAUCUACUGGGUCAAAAGCUACGAAGAGAGAAAUUCUGCACUUAGAAAAAGCAUCUUACAUUGGAAUAGUUAACUAGGCGUCUGAAUAAAAGGAAGCUCUAACUCUAUAAGAAACCGUACGAUUCAGAUUCAAAGUGAUUCCCUUUCUAGUGUGCAGAUCAUCAGGAGACAGGGUACGUAAAAUAAGAAAGGCCCACACCAUAUUUACCAAACACAAACGCCACAGAGAGAAAAUCUUACAGCUGAUGUUGGGAAAAAAUAAGAAAGUAUAACCACAAACCAAUAACACAAAGGACAGAACAAUCACUUGUGUUGGUUGACAUAACAAUGACAAAGGGUACAAGGUUGAGGGGUCUGUGUUGUGUCCCAUUGGGCAGAUGUCAAUUCAAUGCCAAUUUCACUGUGGUUCAACGUAAUUUCAUUGAAACGAAGUGGAAACAACAUUGAUCCAACCAGUGUGUGCCCAGUGGGGUGUGUCUGUGUUCCUGAGUCCUGUGGAACUGUGUAGGAGUGAGAGGGGGGAAAAAAGAGCCUGAAUGACCGACACAAAAGUGGAGUGAGUGAAAGAAAGAAAGAGAGAAAACAUGGUAUAUUUGGAACAAUUAGAGAGAUGAAGAAUGUGAAGAAACACUGUGCUCUGGAUUUUCUUCCUUGAGUGAAUAUAAAGCUUUUUCAGGGCUACAGGGUUCUAUGUUAGACUUCCCAUUCCCUCUUCCUGGGGUAGCUAGCAAAUCUUCUGAUGGGUUUGUGUGUGUGUGUGUUUGCUCCAUGCGUGUGUGUGAGCACACUCUGUAUCAACACUGACCCUCCUCUCCCCAGUCCUCAGUCCUCUCCUCGCUCCCUGAGAACCAACACAGAGCGGACACAGCUUUUACCCGCCCUUUCAUCUCAUUGUCCUCAGGAGCUAGUGUUUGUACUGUCUAUUCAGUACAGUCCACUUUGUACACCUUGGUUCUGUGGGAGAGGACAGGUGGAUGCAGACCACUAGUAUGGCCGGCUGGGUCUUGAGGCUGGCAGUGGGGUCAGUGUUCUGUGGGUCCGUAUUGCAGUGUGGGAACCUCGUCAGGGAGAGGGCUUCUGAAAUGGAAACCUGAUCCAAU